rnacentral:tRNA from 1 species
GUCGGAGUGGCGGAAUUGGCAGACGCGCACGUUUGAGGGGCGUGUGGGAGACCGUGCGGGUUCAAGUCCCGCCUUCGACACCA